rnacentral:rRNA from 1 species
AGAGUUUGAUCCUGGCUCAGGAUGAACGCUAGCGGCAGGCUUAACACAUGCAAGUCGAGGGGCAGCGGAGCGGAGUGCUUGCACUCUGCUGCCGGCGACCGGCGCACGGGUGAGUAACACGUAUGCAACCUGCCCCGGAGCGGGGGAUAACCCGGCGAAAGCCGGACUAAUACCGCGUAUAUAUCCAGGAGGCAUCUUCUGGAUAGGAAAGGACUUCGGUCCGCUCCGGGAUGGGCAUGCGGCGCAUUAGGCAGACGGCGGGGUAACGGCCCACCGUACCGACGAUGCGUAGGGGUUCUGAGAGGAAGGCCCCCCACACUGGUACUGAGACACGGACCAGACUCCUACGGGAGGCAGCAGUGAGGAAUAUUGGUCAAUGGGCGAGAGCCUGAACCAGCCAAGCCGCGUGAGGGAAGAAGGCGCUCAGCGUCGUAAACCUCUUUAGCCGGGGGACAAAACCUCCUCGUGAAGGAGGCUUGAGAGUACCCGGAGAAUAAGCAUCGGCUAACUCCGUGCCAGCAGCCGCGGUAAUACGGAGGAUGCGAGCGUUAUCCGGAUUUAUUGGGUUUAAAGGGUGCGCAGGCGGACAUUCAAGUCUGCGGUCAAAUUCCGGGGCUCAACCCCGGCCAGCCGUGGAAACUGAAUGACUUGAGUGGGCGAGAGGUAUGCGGAAUGCGCGGUGUAGCGGUGAAAUGCUUAGAGAUCGCGCAGAACUCCGAUUGCGAAGGCAGCAUACCGGCGCCUUACUGACGCUCAGGCACGAAAGCGUGGGGAUCGAACAGGAUUAGAUACCCUGGUAGUCCACGCAGUAAACGAUGAAUGCUGGUUGUUCGGGCCGACUGAGGCCUGAGUAACGUAGUGAAAACGUUAAGCAUUCCACCUGGGGAGUACGCCGGCAACGGUGAAACUCAAAGGAAUUGACGGGGGC